rnacentral:ncRNA from 1 species
AAAUAUGCUUGUUUUCAACUUAAUUUUCAUAUUUAUUUCAAGUGUUUAACGUUCUUUUUUUUGGGGGCAGAAUGCGUAAGUUUGUUAAGAGAACCGCAAUUUGUGGAUCGCUCUUAUUGAUAGCGAUUUUUAUGAUGAAUAGUUGGAGCGGUAUUCAGAGCGGGCAUAACGCAUUUCGUCCAGUCUCAAAAUCAAAACCAGCAUCAAGUGAGACUUGUAAAGAGUAUAACGAAAAGGGUUUUAUCGGAAAAUUGUUUGAUUUUUCUGCACGUGGUUGGUGCGAUUGAUUAAAGAGGCUUCGGCCUCUUUUUUUGACGCU